UCUCCGUAGGUGAACCUGCGGAGGGAUCAUUACAGAGUUCAUGCCCUACCGGGUAGAUCUCCCACCCUAUGUUAUUAUUACUUUGUUGCUUUGGCGGGCCGUUAGGCUCCGGCCCGACUACCGGCCCCGGCUGGUAAGCGCCCGCCAGAGGACCCAAAACCCUGAAUAUUAGAGUCGUCUGAGUACUAUAUAAUAGUUAAAACUUUCAACAACGGAUCUCUUGGUUCUGACAUCGAUGAAGAACGCAGC
rnacentral:misc_RNA from 1 species